GGGUCUUUAGCUCAGUGGUAGAGCAUUUGAUUGCAGAUCAUGAGGUCAUCGGUUCAAACUCGGUAUGGCCCU
rfam:Ipomoea nil DNA, scaffold: scaffold0878, cultivar: Tokyo-kokei standard.